rnacentral:rRNA from 1 species
GACGAACGCUGGCGGCGUGCUUAACACAUGCAAGUCGAACGCUGAAGACCUGGCUUUUGUUGGGUUGGAUGAGUGGCGAACGGGUGAGUAACACGUGAGUAACCUGCCCUCUUCUUUGGGAUAACGCCCGGAAACGGGUGCUAAUACUGGAUAUUCACUGGCCUUCGCAUGGGGGUUGGUGGAAAGGUUUGUUCUGGUGGGGGAUGGGCUCGCGGCCUAUCAGCUUGUUGGUGGGGUGAUGGCCUACCAAGGCUUUGACGGGUAGCCGGCCUGGGAGGGUGACCGGUCACAUUGGGACUGAGAUACGGCCCAGACUCCUACGGGAGGCAGCAGUGGGGAAUAUUGCACAAUGGGCGAAAGCCUGAUGCAGCGACGCCGCGUGAGGGAUGGAGGCCUUCGGGUUGUAAACCUCUUUCGCUCAUGGUCAAGCCGCAACUGUGGGUUGUGGUGAGGGUAGUGGGUAAAGAAGCGCCGGCUAACUACGUG